CCUACGGGUGGCAGCAGUGAGGAAUAUUGGUCAAUGGACGCAAGUCUGAACCAGCCAAGUAGCGUGCAGGAUGACGGCCCUCCGGGUUGUAAACUGCUUUUAGUUGGGAAUAAAAGGGGGCUCGUGAGCCCCGUCUUGUAUGUACCAUCAGCAAAAGGACCGGCUAAUUCCGUGCCAGCAGCCGCGGUACUACGGAAGGUCCGGGCGUUAUCCGGAAGGACUGGGCGUAAAGGGGGCGUAGGUGGUUUAGUAAGUUGGCGGUGUAAUUCCGGGGCUCAACCUCGGCGCUACCGCCAAAACUAUUAGGCUGGAGUGCAGGAGGGGUAAGUGGAAUUCCUGGUGUAGCGGUGGAAUGCGUAGAUAUUAGGAGGAACAUCAGGGGCGAAGGCGACUUACUGGACUGUAACUGACACUGAGGCACGAAAGCGUGGGGAGCAAACAGGAUUAGAUACCCGUGUAGUC
rnacentral:rRNA from 1 species